rnacentral:rRNA from 1 species
GACGAACGCUGGCGGCGUGCCUAACACAUGCAAGUCGAGCGAAGUGAUUCGGAGGAAAAUUUUCGGAUGGACCAAAGAAUCAUCUUAGCGGCGGACGGGUGAGUAACGCGUGAGAAACCUGCCUUUCACAAAGGGAUAGCCUCGGGAAACUGGGAUUAAUACCUUAUGAUACUUACACCUCGCAUGAGGAGUAAGUCAAAGCGAAUAAGCGGUGAAAGAUGGUCUCGCGUCCUAUUAGCUAGUUGGUGAGGUAACGGCUCACCAAGGCCUCGAUAGGUAGCCGGCCUGAGAGGGUGAACGGCCACACUGGAACUGAGACACGGUCCAGACUCCUACGGGAGGCAGCAGUGGGGAAUAUUGCACAAUGGAGGAAACUCUGAUGCAGCGACGCCGCGUGAAUGAUGAAGGCCUCGGUUGUAAGUUACUGUCCUUGGGUAGAGUAAU